rnacentral:tRNA from 1 species
GAGAGAUGGCCGAGUCGGCUGAAGGCGCUCGCCUGCUAAGCGAGUAUAGGGUCAAAAACUCUAUCGAGGGUUCGAAUCCCUCUCUCUCC